UUCCCUGCUCCUGCUGCCACUCUGUUCCUGAUCCAGGCCAGGAUCCAUUGGCCUUCUUGGCCAUCUGGGCACACUCUGGCUCCUGUUCAGCUCCCUGUCCAUCCCCACUCCCAGCUCCCUUCCUGCCUGGCUGCUCUCCAGCCCCUCUGGCCCAGCCUGGAGCUGCCGGGGGUUGUUGUGGCCAAAGGGCAGGACCCGGCCCUUGGCCUGGUUGAACCUCAUCCCCUUGGAAUCAGCCCAUGGAUCCAGCCUGUCCUGGUCCCUCUGCAGAGCCCUCCUGCCUUCCAGCAGAUCAACACUCCCCUCCAACUUGGUGUCAGCCGCAAAUUUGCUGAUGGUGGACUCAAUCCAAUGGUUUGGGUUGGAAGGGACUUAAAGAUCAUCCAGUCCAACCUCCCUGCCAUGGGCAGGGACACUUUCCACUAAACCAGGUUGCUCCAAGCCCCCUCCUGCCUGGCCUUGGGCACUGCCAGGGAAGGGGCAUCCAAAAUUUCCUGUAAUUAUUGAUUACUAGCAAGGAUCCUGCCUGGCUCUGGUGUCCUUCCAGCCACUGAGCUUGCCACUGUAAAUAUAUUUGUGGAGAAAUGUUCUCAUUCCUUAAUGUAAGGUGUCAUUUCUCUUGGAACAGCGGUAGAAAGAAGGACAAUGGCUCUUUUCUCAUUCAGCCUGAGAGGAGAAGUUCAGGGCUUUGGUGGCACCAUAUUAAUCUCUGAACACCCUCAGUGUCACACAAACUGGUCUGUAAUUUUCACAGGUGUCGGGAUUGUGUCUGCCAGGACAGCCAAGACAUGAAGGUUUCUGGAUCUCAGGGACAAACUGCAGCCUGAAACACAGCUGCAAAGCCCUUUUUUAUGCUCCAGCACCAGCAGGUGAAGGGUGACAGUUCCCUCCUCUCCUGCUCAGCUUCACUGCAACAGGGCAUCACUGCAGCACGGAGCAGGAGGUAUGGAAAGGAGAACAUGGGAAUAAAGGUUGGGACACUGGAACCACUCAUAAGGGGCUUUGUUCUCUGCACUGCAACCCAUCUCGGUUCUGUCACACAUAUGGAUCCCUUGGACAAAUGUCGGGCUUGUAGAGGACUUGGAGGGCACUGGAUCUGUGGAUUUCAAGUUCACUGGGCUGGGAAACACGGAACGACAUGUUUGGUGGGACCUCACACCUGACUGGAACCAAGGGAAACUGGAAACUUGUCAUGGAAACUUGGCAAGUAUUUGAAAUCUGUUGCUGGUGGAGAAUCACUGGGUAGUUGGGGUGAUCUUGUUGGAGCACAGCCAGGCUUUGCUGGCUGAGGGCUGCUGUCCUCAGCAGGAAAAAUAACCUGGGGGGGCUCAAUGUAUAUUUUACCUUGGAGAAACCACUGGGCACAGUGUCCCUGCUGUCCCAGCUGUCCCUGUCCAGCCUCUGCUGGGUUCCCCAUCUUUUGGGAAAGCCUCUGUAUCUGUGUGUGUUCACAUUAAAACCAAAAAACCUCAUGGUCUGCCUAAGGUAGCGUUAAAACUUUAUGCAGAAAGUGAAUUUAAUUCUGUUCUUCAUUCAGAAAGAUUCUCUGUGACUAUCAGGCAGUGUGAGAGAGUGGAUUAACAGGCUGCAGGCCAGCUGGGAGCUGUCUGACAGGUUCUCCAGGUUGUCCACCGUAGUGAUGAUGGCUUCUAUUUUCUCAUCUGGGAGCACGUGGGAGGCGUUGGAUCGAAACUUCU